CCUACGGGAGGCAGCAGUGGGGAAUAUUGGACAAUGGGCGAAAGCCUGAUCCAGCCAUGCCGCGUGUGUGAAGAAGGCCUUCGGGUUGUAAAGCACUUUCAGCGAGGAAGAACGCUUCGGGAUUAAUACUCCCGAGGAAAGACAUCACUCGCAGAAGAAGCACCGGCUAACUCCGUGCCAGCAGCCGCGGUAAU
rnacentral:rRNA from 1 species